AAAUUUGAUUAUGUUUGAUCUUAGUGAAAAUCAUUUCAGUGGAAGUGUACCAGCAUGGAUUGGUGAUAAGCUCUCAAACCUUGUGAUUCUAAGCCUUCGAUCAAAUAACUUUGAUGGUCAUAUUCCUCAUAACAUUUGUGAUCUUCAAUUUCUUCAAAACUUGGACCUUGCCCACAACAACAUUUCUGGAGUUAUUCCAAAAUGUUUUAAUAAUUUAAGUGCAAUGGCCACAACAAACAAAACCGAUAAAAAAGUUUAUGGGGAUAGUUUUUACCGAUUUUCUUGGAGCGCAUUGUUGGUGUUGAAAGGACGAGAGGAUGAAUAUGGUAGCACACUAGGACUUCUUACCAGCAUGGAUCUUUCAGCUAACAGCCUCACAUGAGAGAUUCCCAAAGAAAUUGGUAGUCUCGUUGGACUAUUGUCUUUAAAUUUUUCAGGGAAUCUCCUAACAGGAAAUAUACCAGACAGCAUUGGCAACAUAGAGUUAAUGGAAUCUCUUGAUUUGUCCAUGAAUCGACUAAAUGGUGAAAUCCCUCCAAGUUUCUCCAAUUUGAAUUUCUUGAAUCACUUCAAUGUGUCCUACAACAACUUGACAGGACAAAUCCCAACAAGCACUCACCUUCAAAGCUUUGACAACUUGUCUUAUGUGGGCAAUCAUCAUUAUAGACCUCCUCUAACUAAGAACUGCGCCUCAAAAGGCAUUCCAACUGACGUUGCAAAUAAUGGAAGUAGCAGUGAAGGAAAUAAAGUGAAUUCGCUUUAUGUCAGCAUAGCUCUUGGCUUUGUAAUGGGAUUUUGGGGUGUAGUAGCUCCCUUGUUUUUCAUCAGGUCUUGGAGGAUUGCAUACUAUCGAAUGCUGGACCAUAUCUGUGGUAAACUGUAUGUGUUUUGGGCUACUAUGGGUAUGUAGUUUGAUAGGAAAAAAGCAUGUAUAAUUGAUGCAUCUGAUCUAGGUGUGCUGCUACAUGAUUGUUUGAUGCUAAAAGAUUAGUUUUUGUGUCUUUCCACUCACUUGGUGUGCUAAUAAGGCGGCCCAUUCGCUGGCAUGAACAGCUUUGUUAUAUGCAAAUCAUGUGGAAUGGGAUGUUUUUCCCUUGCAUCUUUUUUGAAGAAUGUUUAAAUUAUGAUCUUAUGUUGAUACAAAUGCAAAUUACAUCCGGUAGGUUUAGGUGUAUGGGGUGAGCCUGUUGGCUCGGGUUUAGUAGUCUGUCUCCUCUUUGUGUUCACUUUUGUUUUGUUAUUUUCUCAUUAAUGAAUUUCUUCUCUAAAAAAAUAGUAAUUUUAGACACGUACAAAAGUAUAAGAGUGAACUACACCCAAUGUCACUCUAAAAUAGGGUUUGUCCUAUUUUGGUCACUCUAGCUAAUUUUUUUUUCAAUUUAGUCACUCUAAUUAAUGUUAUUAUUCAAACUAGUCAAUAUUGUUAAAAUUUCUAUUAAUCCACUAAUAGAUUGUUGUUGUGCCACAUCAGCCAAUUGAAAGAUGACACGUGACACCAGAGGGCAAAGCCAGGGGGCUGGCGGGUGCCCCGACCCUCCUAAAAUAAAAAAUUUUUCAUUUAGACCCCUUUAUAAUUUAUAAAAUUUUAAAUUAGUAAUGAUAAAAUUACACUUUGGCCCUUCUAAAAAUAAAAAAAAUUGGGUUAAUCUUUUAAAAAUUAUAAAGAUAUAGACUAUUAAAAUUAUGAUGAAAUUGUAUUUUUACUACCAUAAGAAUAUACAAUUUAAUACUGGCCCCACAAAAAAAAUUUCUUACUUUGUCCCUUCGUGGCACUUUCUUUUGAUUUUUAACUAAAACUUAAGAACCACUCUAUAAUUAAUCCAGAAUACUUUUUUUUUUUUUGUUUCCCCUUUUCUUCUCUUUGCAACUCAAAAUGGAGAAACCAAAACAGGCAUUUCAAAGCUACAUGUCCUUCACCAUUUUCUCAACAAUGGAUGUAUGGCAACUAUCAACGAUAACCCACCAUACAUCUACAAAUAAUUAAAGAAGAACGAACAAAUAUAAAUAAGAAGGGAUCCACGGCAUGAAUAGGGCAAGGGCAAAAGCUUCAUCCUCGUCUUGAGAUAUUUUUGCGAUAUUAAAAGAGUUUGACUGCAGACGUACAAGAUUUAUUUAUUUAUUUAUAGGGAAAACUACACCAUAAGUUAUGUAUAUUGUUUCAUUUUUUUUUAUCACUCAAUUAUCAAUUUUUUUUAUUUAGUCUCAACUAAUUAAGAUUUUUUUUUGGUCUAUUUCCAUUAAAUGUCAUUAAAUCUCUUAUGGGUGGGUGAUGUAAGAAUAAAAAAAUCGAUAAUAAUAGAUUUAGCCCUCAACUUUUACAUAGUAUAUUUAUUUAGUUAAAUUUUAAAAAAAAUUCACCUUCAAAAUUUACAAAUGAUCUCAAUUUGAUCCUCAUACUUUUUUAGUAAUUUUAACGAUUUUUUAUUUUAAAGAAAAUGUAUGACAUAUAGUGUAUAUAUAAACAUGCUUUCUCAUAAUUAAUUAAUAUAAAAAUAUUUUCCAAUAAAAAUGUAACUUAUUAAACUUCCUUUUUUUAAUUGGCUUUAGUGGUAAAAAUUGAACCUUAAUCAUUACAAUUAGGUUAAAUUAAUCAUAUAUGCCGAAAUAGUUUGUUAAUUGGUUAUAUAGGUCGAUUUUUUAAAAAUUUACAGAAAUAGAUCGUUUUUGGAGAGAGUGUGACCGCGCUUUCUGCAUAGGUGGUUGGAAAGAUCAUCCAACUGGGCGAGCUUUUCUAUUGACAUGUCAGGGAAAGCAUGCCUAACUGGAUGUGUUUUUUUUUUUUUGAAUUUUCAGAAAACGCUUUCAGGUGGACGAGCUUUCACACACUCUCUCCAAAACUGUUUAUUUCCCUAAAUUAAAAAAAAACAGCUUAUUUAGUCAAUUAACAAUUUUUUUUGACAUAUAUGACUAAUUUAGCCCUACAAUUAAGGGUUUAAUUUAUGAUCACAUUAUAUAUUAUUAAAACAUGAUGUAAAAAGAAAAUUAUAAGAGAGAGAAUGAAAGGAUGAGUGGUAGAUUUAAAAAUUAAGUUCUUCGUGUGUGUGUGUAUAUAUAUAUAUAUGUAUAUGAUCAAUAUUUCAUAUAUAGAUAUGUAUAUGGUCACAAGAUAAUUAUUUAUACUAUAAUAAUAUGUCUGAUUAAGUUUAGUGUCAUAAAUCAAGUGAAACCAACUCAAUUGGUAGAAGCACAGAAAAAUUAAAGUUAUUUUUUAAAAAAUAUAGAGUUAAUUAUAUCAUUUAAAUAUUUUAUAAAACAAAUUAAAUUUAUUCAAUACUCUUAAACUAACUAUUUGAAAAAUCAUUUUUUCAAUUAAAACUAUUUGUUGAGGCAUGUUGCAUGCUUCUGUGAUGAGUGGCACUCAAUAGUGCCUAUUACAAACUACCGUUAAGACAGUAAAUAUACUUGUCAUAUUUGAGUUGAAAAUUUUAUGCAACAAAAUCUUUUGACUAGUGUACAACCCAACUUUUUCCUGAGGCCCAUAAAAGAAUAACCUAAAACCCAACCAACUAAACCCAAUAUAGCCUAAACAAACCCUAGCCCAACUAGCCCAAACCUAAAAAGAAAAAAACAACAACAACAACAAAGAUUGCAAACCCUAGGUGCGCCGCGCCUAGGGUGUCUGACCUCCCCACGUCAGCCACCAUACCGCCGCUCCACCUGCUACCACCUGCUCCUGUUCCGUCACCUGCAAAAGGAGGGACAAACACGCAAUAAACAAUAGCAAAUCAUUUGUAAAUGGCUAUAAAAAGCCAUAUGAAUCUUUGUAUUUGGGGUUUUUUUUUUGGAUACAUUAAAAAAAUCAAAAAUAGCAAAAUUGAUCAAAGAAAAAAAAACAAAGUGACACACAUGCAAAGGUUCUUUUUAUUUUUUUAUUUUUUUUCUCUUUAUUUUUUUUCGAAACUGAUUAUAUAUAUAUAAAGAUUUUUUUUAACUGUAUAUAUAUAUUAAAAUAUAGUAUAACAAAGAAAAAAAAGAAAAAAUUACCUUUUUGGGCUCCUGCCGCCGUGCACGGUGGUCGACAACGACGGACCCCAAGGCGGCGUGAGGCGGUGAUUGGCCGAAAUUUUCAAAAUGGCGUCGUUUUGAGCCUUAACCCGCGAUCCGACUCGCUCCAGGCCUAGGAUCCGUGUGAUUUUAACGGAAGGGCUAAUUCACUUUUAGCCCUUCCGCUUUUUUAUAGUUUUUCAAUUAAGUUUCUUUGAUUUCUAAUUUUGCCCUAGAAUUUUGCUUUGAUUUCAUUUUCGCCCUGUCUAAGGUGCUGCGUUUUGGAGGGCGGGGAUAUUUUCCCCUUUAGUCCCUCCUUGUUAUUCGCUCACUUGAUUUGGUCCUUUUCUCUUUUAUUUAUUUCUGAUUUUCCCCCAGAAUUUUGUUUUAAGGUUCAAUAUAGACCUUUUUUGUUAUUUUUGUUAUUUUUAUUAAUUUAAUGUUAUUAUUAUUUUCUUUUUAUGUUUACUACCUGUUAUUAUUAUUGUAUUAUUAAAUUAAUUAAUUUAGUGUUAUUACUACUAUUAUUAUAGUUCUUUCUUGUAUUUAUUUAUUCUUUUUUUAUAAUACAUUGAUUUUAUUUUGUCAUUUUAUUAUUUAUUUAUUUAUACCUUUAUAUAAUUCCAAGCUUUGAAUUCUUUAUUAUUUUGUAUCAUUAUUUUGUUUUACAUAAUACUUAUAUUAUUAUUAUUAUUAUUAUUAUUAUUAUUAUUAUUAUUAUUAUAUGUUUAUCAUUUUUUUACUUAAAUCUCAUAUUUGUUUAUACUUGAUUUUUCAUUCCUUUACUUUCAAAAUAUUUAAAUUGAGCUAUGUAUAUACACUGUAUUUAUUUACUUACUACCAUUUUUUUAUUUUGUUUUAUUUAAUUUUUUUCUUUUAUUUAUUUGCUUACUUUCAUUUUUUUAUUUAAACUUUUUAUUAUUUUUACUUGUUUUUUUACUUAUUUUUUGUUUUAUAAUUAGCUUGUUUUUGUUCAUUUAUCUUAUUUUUGCUCGUAUUAUCGUCAAUUUUAUUAAUGCAUUUAUUGUUAUUAUGUUAUGCAUAUUAACGUCGAAAUUUAUUUCACUAUCAAUUCGUGUUACAUUAAUCUUUACCCGAAGCAUUAAAUUUUUUAUUUUAAAAUAAGCAAUAUUUCACGUUUUUAUUUCGAAAAGUCAUACUCUAACUUACGGAAUUUCGAUUUUCUCGACAAAUCUAAAUAAGCGAGCUUUUUUUUCUUAUUAUUGUCGUAAUCUCGGGAAUUAAGAGAAGGUCGUAUUCUAACUCACGGAAUACGAUUUUUCUUUCUAAAACCGAGAUAGUUGAAUACCUUCUAAAAUAGAUUUUUUGGCGUUUAUUCGCGUAACGGGAAUUUAAGACAUUGUAUUCUAACUUACGGGACGUAAUUCUUUUUUUGGUUAACGUGAAAUCUGUCAUUUUCUCGAAAUUUUCAAUUAAAUAAUAUUUUAUAAAGGAUCGUGUUUUAAAAUCUCUUCAAAUUUUUUAUGUUCGGCACUAAGACAUUAAUUAAUCAACUAGGUACCCAUUUUGGGCGUUACGAGGGUGCUAAUCCUUCCUCGUACGUAACCGACUCCUGAACCCGUCUUUCUGAAUUUCAUGGACCAAAAUCUUUGUUUUAAUAAAUCGAAUUGUUUAUUAAAAACAAUCUUUUUCGAGGUGACCUGAUCCCGUCUCAUCAAAAAAGAUUGGUGGCGACUCCCAUUUUCGUUUUCAAAAUAUCAGACGAUUUCAAAAUGGUUUCGACAACUAGUUAUUGUGAUGAUAUUUUAAAGAUUAUAUAGCCUAUCUAUAUAAGACAAUCUAUGGCUAGUGAAGAUUUGGUCGGAUUCAACUAAAUCAUUUACAAAUGAAUAUCAUAUAUAUUAUAUAUCAUACAGAGAUAUUAAAAUGAUGUUAAUAAAUAAAUUGAUAUACUUUUAUUUUAAAUUUUUUUAUCACUGAAUUUAAAGGUUUUGUUAAAAUGCAUUUUUACUAUUAAUCAAAUAUUUUAUAAUGAUAAUUUAAGAUUAAAUGACUUCUUUUUCAAUUAUUUCAUUGAAAAUGUUGGACUCUCGUAUUGUUUUAGAUGGAAAAAAUUUUAAAUUAAAAAAAAAAAUCAAAAUGCAUCGUUUUAAAAUGUUAAUGAUUAUAGCUAUUUUAUAUGGGAAAAAAAUUUCAAAAUUAUUGAAUGAAAAAAAAAUUCAAAAUUUUCAAAUGAUUUUAUACAUCACGUGACAUGUUGCCAUAUAAAGAAAAAUAUUUAUAUAGGAAGGAAAAGAAAAAGGAUAGAGCAACAGGAUAUUCAAAAUUACAAAAUUUAUGCUUAACCACAAAUUUAUACCUAAAUUAAAAUAUUUUUUCCAUCUUGGUACUUCAAAUUUUUUUUGUCAUAAGUGGUACCUAGACCUUUUUUUUUUCAAAUUGGUACCUAUGUUAGUCAAACCGUUAAGCCUAUUUUUUUAAAAAAAAAGUUGACUCAUAAAUUGGUACCUAAAAUAUGCAUUUCCCCAUUUGGUACCUAAAGUUUUGUUAGGUUACAAGUAGUACCUAAACUAUUUUCUUCCCCAAAUUGGUAUCUCUUGUAGUUCAAUCAUCAAUCAAGUCGUUAAGUUUAUUUUGUUUAAUAAAAUAACCAAUAUAAAAAUUGACAUAUGGCAAAAAAGACAAAAAGUAUUAUUUUCUCUUAUAUAUAUAUAUAUAUUCUUUAAACCGCGACCAAUGGUUGAACCAAUCAAACCACCAAUUAUUGGUUUGAUCAGUUCGUCCAAUUUGAUAUUAAAAUUUUAUAAAAAUAAAAUAUUUUAAAAAUAGAGAAAACUAAUUCAAAUGAUUUCUUUAGCUUGGUCCAAUAGGUUUGUAUCAGUUUGCAGGUCAAUCAGUCAACCCCUAUAUCUAGACUAGUAUCCCAACCAAUUCUCAGUUCAAUCGAUCAAUCUAGUCCAAUUUUGAAAAUAUUGGAUUUGAUCGAUGAAAUAACUUUUUCGAUCUCAUCAAGUCAAAUAAGCAAGCGGUGAAAUUCAAAAAUAUAAUUAAUUACCAGCAUUUCAAUUUUUGGAGAGCAAAUUUUGAGCAUUACUAAUAUUGUCGUAUGUUAUAAAAGAAGAAAAAUAAUAAUAAAAAGAGAGACAAAACUGUAAAAGGAAAAAGGAAAACAAAAUAAUUAAAAAUUGUUAAGUUAUAUGACAUGGCAAAUUAUUAUUAGUUGAAAUUUUUUUGAAUGGAUAUAACAUGUUUGUGUAAACUGGAUAAAAGAAUAAUAGUUUAAGUAUCACUUGUGAGUAAAAAAUUGUUUAGGUACCAAAAUAAUAAUAAUAAAUGCAUAGUUUAAGUACCAACUUAUAAGUUAAGCCUUGUUUAAAAAUAGAUUUAACAGUUAGACUAACAAAGGUAUCAACUUGAAAAAGAAAAUAGUUUAAGUACCACUUAUAACAAAAAAAAAUUAUGUACCAAUAUAAGAAAAUUUAGGUACUAAUAUAGGGGGAAAAAGGGUAUAAUUUAACUAUCAAUUUGUGAGUUAAACCUAAAAAUUAUGUUGAAAUUUGUGAAAAGUAAUAAAGUAAUAAAGUAAUAAGUUUGGCAAUGGAGGUUGAGUUAGGUUCACUGGGAAGCAAGACAUAAUAAAUAUUGGUAUAAUGUUAAAUUUAGUCUUUAAUAUUUAUAUUUUUUGUUAAUUUAGCCUUUAUUUUUUUUUAAGCUAAAUUUGACCCACAACAUUUUAAAAAGAGUCUAAUUAUUAUUUUUUAACAAAAAUACUGGUUAAAACAUUCAAUUUUAAAACAUUGCAACUUGCAUAACAAUCCACAUGUAUCUAUAUUGACGUGGCAUAUAAGACAAAUAGUGACAUGUCAACAUAAAGUAUACGUGGACUACCACGUGUCUUGGCAUGUCAACAUCGCUAAAAAAUUAGUUUUUUUACUUAACAAUUCUGUUUUUUUCAAAAAAAAAAAAAGAAGAAGAGCAAUUUGACUAUUUUUGAAAGAUUCAUGGUCAACUUUAGUUCAAAAAAAAAGAAUAAAAGUCAAAUUGACCAUAGAUGGAAACGUUAAGAGCUCAAUUUGACAUUAUCCCAUAAAUAUUUCUUUGCAUGAGAGAAAAAAAAAAUCAGAUUUUAUUUUAAAACAAAUAUCUACAUGAAUUACAUGAUAGAGGUAUAUUAAAUAUGGGAUGAGUUGUAUUUAAUUAAAAAGAUAUCUUACCUGUUAUAUUGGUUACAAUAAAAUUUUAAUCUAAAUUUCACUAAAAAUUCACUAGUUUAAUCUAUUAAUUUUCCCUUUUGGAAAAAUAAGAAUAUUAACAGUGGGACUUAGUCCAUAGACUUGGUUAAGUUGACCUGCUUCUAAACUUUAUGUUUUGUUCAUACAGGAAUAUUAAGAUAAAUUGAUUUAUUUUCAAUAAAAGUUUAAGUAGUCUUCGUUUUCAACAUUUUGCUUUGCUUAGUCAAAUUCCGCGUUUUCCAUUUUCUUUUCCUUCUCUUUUUUCUCCUUUAGCUUUUAAGACCUAAAAAGUCUUAAAGAAUGUGGGAGUGGGGCUUUCUUCAUCGAAUUUUGUUUGACUCAACUUUAUAACAUUUUAUGGAAAAUUAAAUUUCCAACAGGCUAUUAUCAAUUUAACGCAUUUUGUUGGAAGAAACUUCCUUGCGCUUCAUGUAUUUUUGUGUUUUAGCUAAAGCUUACUCUAUAUAUUUGGAGUUGUGAGCCAUGGCAAUAGCAACCAUGACUACUCCUCUUCCUAUCUCCUUAUUCCCUUUUCUUCUUCUCAUUUCCGCUCUCUGUUUUUCCAUUUGUCAUGCCAAUUCCAACCUACUUUGCAUUCAAAGUGAGAGAGAAGCACUUUUGAAAUUCAAGAAUCAUCUUAUUGAUCAUUCAAACAGGUUAUCUUCAUGGGUUGAAGGAGGGGAUUGCUGUAAAUGGAUUGGUGUCAUCUGCCAUAACUCAACAGGCUACGUCAACCAACUGCAUUUGGCUGCUCCUCUUUCACAGCCUGAUUUUGACGCACCACUAGCUGAAUGGGAAGCUUACGUGCGGUCAAAACUACGAGGCAAAAUAAAUCCUUCACUGCUGGAGUUAAAGCAUCUCAGUUCCCUGGACUUGAGCAAUAACGAUUUUAGCAGCAUACAUAUCCCGAAAAUUUUCAGUUUGCUGGAGAGUUUAACAUAUCUUAACCUCUCUGAUGCACUAUUUCAGGGAGCAAUUCCUCAUAACCUUGGGAAUCUCUCAAAGUUGCAGUAUCUUGAUCUUGGAGGUAAUGAUCUCAAAUCAAAAAGUCUUCAAUGGGUUUCUGGACUUUCUUCUUUGCAGUACCUUGAUUUGAGCUAUGCGGAUCUUCAUAAAGCAACUGAUUGGGUAGAGGUAACAUUCAAACUUCCUUCUUUGUUAGAGUUGCACUUGUCAGAAUGUGGUUUAGACAAUGAUCCAUCUCCGACCAGUCUUAAUUCUACAAAAUCACUGGUUGUUCUUGAUCUUUCUUGGAACCGCUUUUCUUCAGUACCUAAGUCGAUAUUUAGUCUUCAUGGUCUUGUGUCCAUUGAUCUUAGUCACAAUUCUUUGGAAGGCUCAAUUCCAGAUUACUUUGGGAACAUCUCGUUUCUUGAAGUUCUUGAUCUUAGUGGGAAUCAUCUCAAUUCAUCCAUACCCAAUUCCUUGUAUAGUUUAAACCGUCUUCAGUUCCUUUGUCUUAAUGAUACCCAGUUACAAGGAACAAUCUCGAGUGCCAUUGGAAACUUGAGCUCUGUUACUCACCUUUAUCUUUCAGAAAAUCAAUUAAAUGGUCAAAUUCCAUUGUCUAUAGGGGAGUUAUCAUCUCUGAAGUUGUUUGAUGUUUCAAAAAAUCAGUUAAACGGCCAAAUUCCCUUGUCUAUAGGGCAGUUAUCAUCUUUGGAGUUUUUUUAUGUUUCAGAAAAUCAAUUAAAUGGUCAAAUUCCGUUGUCUAUAAGGGAGUUAUCAUCUUUGAAGUUGUUUGAUGUUUCAGAAAAUCAAUUAAAUGGUACUUUUCCUCUAUCUUUUGGACGACUAGAAAGUUUGGAAACUUUGGAUUGUGGGUAUAAUCUAUUACAAGGAGUAGUAUCAGAAACCCAUUUUUCUGAUCUCACGAGAUUGACAACUCUAGCAGCAUCACAAAAUCGGCUUAGAUUUGAACCAAACUCAAGCUGGAUUCCCCCAUUUCAAUGUGAAAGGAUCGAAUUGGGUCACUGGCAUCUUGGCCCAAAGUUUCCCCAGUGGCUAAAAUUCCAAAAGAAAUUGUCUUAUUUGGAUAUCUCCUAUGCAGGAAUUUCAGAUGUCAUGCCAACUUGGUUUUUGAACCUUCCCACUCAAUUUGAAUAUUUAAAUCUUUCCUCUAAUCAACUUACAGGAGAGAUUUCAUAUUUGAAUGUGACAGACAUUGUUGACUUGAGAUCAAACCGAUUCAUAGGUCCAUUGGCAAGAGUAUUCUCAACUUUAACAAUUUUAUAUAUGUCAAAUAAUUCAUUUUCAGGAUCUCUUUCUCAAUUAAUUUGUGAUCCAUCAAGUGGGAAACUUAUGGGAGUUCUUUACAUUGAUAAAAAUCUUAUCUCAGGAGAUAUUCCAGAUUGUUGGAAUCAUUGGCAGCGUUUGGACAUUCUAAAUUUGGGAAGCAACAAUUUAACCGGAAAAAUCCCACCUUCUUUAGGGCAUAUAAAUCUUUCAAUGCUAAUCCUUCGAAACAAUACAAUGUUUGGAGAAUUGCCAUCCACAUUGCAAAAUUCUACAAAUUUGAUUAUGUUUGAUCUUAGUGAAAAUCAUUUCAGUGGAAGUGUACCAGCAUAGAUUGGUGAUAAGCUCUCAAACCUUGUGAUUCUAAGCCUUCGAUCAAAUAACUUUGAUGGUCAUAUUCCUCAUAAAAUUUGUGAUCUUCAAUCUCUUCAAAACUUGGACCUUGCCUACAACAACAUUUCUGGAGUUAUUCCAAAAUGUUUUAAUAAUUUAAGUGCA
rnacentral:lncRNA from 1 species